GCAUGCGUAGCACACCGGACGGCACUGCAGAAGCAGGCGAGUUCGCGAGUGUAUCGAUUUUACGAUCGUGUCUCUCGCCGCUAGUGCGUCCGUUUCCUUUAGUUUUUAGUGGUCGUGCUCAUAGUACAUGGAUAAAAUCGUGAAUGGGAUUAGUCGCUAGUCUCAUCACUCCGUACAUUUGCUGACUCGCAACACUUUGUCACCCUCGCCAUGACUAAGGAUAGAUUAGCAGCUCUUGUUGCGGCCCAGUCGGACGAUGAUGACGUGGCGGACGAUGUGUCCGUCAAUGUUGGCGGGCCCGAUGAUUUUAUGACCGAGUUUUUCGCGGAAGUGGAGGAAAUCCGCGAAAUGAUAGACAGGAUCCAAACGAACGUGGAGGAUGUGAAGAAAAAGCAUAGUGCCAUUUUGUCGGCACCUCAAACCGACGAAAAGGUUAAAAUGGAAUUGGAGGACCUGAUGUCAGACAUCAAGAAAACGGCGAAUAAAGUGAGGGCUAAAUUGAAGGUGAUAGAGCAGAAUAUCGAGCAAGAGGAGCACACGAACAAAUCGUCGGCUGAUCUGAGGAUACGGAAGACACAACACUCGACGCUUUCGAGGAAGUUCGUCGAGGUGAUGACGGAGUACAAUCGGACCCAGACCGAUUACAGAGAGCGGUGUAAGGGGAGGAUACAACGACAGUUGGAAAUCACCGGUAGGACGACCACUAACGAGGAGCUGGAGGAAAUGCUGGAACAGGGGAAUCCGGCCGUGUUCACGCAGGGGAUUAUCAUGGAAACGCAACAAGCGAAACAGACCCUCGCCGAUAUCGAGGCACGCCACGCCGACAUCAUUAAACUAGAAAACUCCAUCAGGGAGCUUCACGAUAUGUUCAUGGACAUGGCGAUGUUGGUUGAAAGUCAGGGUGAGUUGGUGGACCGCAUCGAGUACCUCGUCGAUCAAACCGGCGACCACGUUAUCCAGGCCCGGGGAGAGCUGAUCAAGGCCGAGGAGUAUCGGAGCAAAGCUCGUAAGGACGAGGCACGAAACUGCGAUUGUUGAGAAUUGGGAGGCCAGUUGCAGGCGACACGCAGAGAGGCACGCGAAUAUAGCUGCGAGAUUCGAUCGAAGGAUCGAAUGUGACGAUGAUGUGUAAUGGAAGAAGUGGGUGACGCGUAGCAUGUACACACACACACCACCGAGGAAAGUGUCCAAGUAGAGUUACAGUUCACGGUAGGAAUGUUACCGGCACGUAUGCGUACCUUGCCUUGUAUAAUCGAUCAUUGUGUGUUUUUGCCGAGCGCAGAAGAAGAUCAUGAUCAUGAUCUGCCUUGCUAUACUCGCCGUCGUUCUGACCACCACCAUCGCUGGAUACUUUGGACUGUGAACGCCGUACUCAGUUAAGUCGAAAAGAGUUGGCGAAUUCGCGUACGAAAACGCGAAACGCCGGCAACGCGUGAAUUCGAAGAAAUCGGCCCGAAACAACGUUGGACGCAUCGCCCAUUUCAAGUGGAAUAGUGUUCGUCGACCACGACUGCAUCCGCAAUCGCAAUCGCAGCCGCAACAACAACCGCCAAUAGCAACAACGGCAAUUCGACCGCGAUCCCAUUCGCGAUCUUAUCGUCCGAUCUUUUGUCCGCGCGUGCCGCUCCUCGUCCCAUGGAUCGUCGUUCAAUUCCGCCUUCCGUUAUGCUUGCGCGUUCACCGAUACGUGUUUUACGCGUCGACUAUCGUAAACAAGAGGCAAACGAGAAUAGAAAUAGAAGUAUUUGAGAAAAUUAGUGAAAAUGAUACGAGAAUGAAAGUGAGUAAAACGAUAGCUGGUAGAACGAAGAAUCGUCAUCGUCGUCCUCGUCGUCGUCGUCGUCGUCGUCGUCAUCGUCAUCGUCGUUUGUUUGCAUUAUUGUCGUCGCUUGUAGUUUACGCGCCUUCGUUUACUAGUCUUUCCUCGUUUUUCUUUCGUUCACUCGAUACGCGAAUAAUUUCAUCGCUUCGUUUCACGCGAGCUGUAAAUCCUUUAUUUUCCAUCGAUUUUCUUCACACUCUUUUACUUUUUUACUUUUAUUCUAUAAAACACGAUCAUAAAACACAGAAAAGGAUAAAAGACACGGACGAUAGCGACGAAGCGAGGAAAAUUAUCAUUGCGUGGAUCGUAGACGAUUACCAUCGUCGAUCUCUCCGGGAUUAUCAUCGACGAGCAGCCGGGAGUGCGAUGGAAGAAUAACACGGGUUGGACGAUGGACAAAUGUCGAGCGUACUUACCUUUGUCCGGGACUAUCGGGCCUAGAAAGCGAAGAAAAAAAAAAAAGACGGUAUUCGUGGGCGGCUGUCUACGAUUAGGUCGUAUCGAUGUAUCUCGUUUCAAAGCCAAGCCUAAAACCUAAUGGAGUUUUUCUGUAACGCGAGGCACAUCGUGCGAGGCUACCGUGCAAUCCUCUCGUUUUCUCAGACGCCAUUUUCGGCGUUAUGCGCAGGCUCUGGUAGCCGUGUCCAAUUAUACCGACUACCUACCGAAGUGCAUUCUUUUGACUGUGAUUUUUAACCGAGCUUGGAAAUUAGCCUUUUGCGAAUCUUUCGAACGCGUUCGUAAUAUGGUCGGGCAUGUAUACGAUCGUACGAGUCGAAACACGCAUGCAAAGUGUUUUCUUUUCUUCGCUUCUUCCGAGAUCACCGCUACUGGUCGAGAAUCGAACGAUAGGCUGAUUCGAAACGGUAGGGUAUAUCGAUGGUCGGUAAAGAAGAGAAAACUGGAACGCGCAAAGGGCAAAUUUGCAAGUGCGUCGUAACGUUGGAAUAGCUUUCGUUCGACGGAAUAUACAUUUAGGUAGUUUGUUUCUCGCUUUCGACGUUGUGUCAGAAAUCGAUCGGUCGAUAAAAAUUUAUCGAAAACGAUGACGAAUCGUACAGCGAAGCACUAUCGUCUUCGUGUUGCACGAAAUGCCAUUAGGGUAUUGGGUUCGAUCGACCGAUCGGCGUCACUGCUUUUUUGCAUCCUCUUCGAUAUAUCGUUGUAUUUAUUUCUAUCCAAAUACGCGGCCGCGAUCUUGCGCGCAUGAUCUUCUUUCGUCCUUUUUCUCUCGGUUCAGCUCACGUUGUCGUAUUGUAGUCGUAUCGAAUACCGCUACUCAAUCGGUCAAUUACCGACGAUCGAACGGACAAUAACGACGAGACUGUGACCAAUGACCGACAUACGUAACGACGACAAUGACAAUGGAAAUUAAAGUAAUCCGGUCGCUUUAUAUAAAUCGAAAUAUUUUUCUCGUUUCUUCCAUAUUCUUCGUUUUGUUUUUUAUCAUUAUUAUACAUAUAUAUAUAUAUAUAAAUAUAUCUCGUUUAUCGUUGUGCGUAAAAAAAAAAAAAAAACAUUUUCGCAAAAAGCGUGCGUCGUGUUAAAGAGGGUCGAUCAUCGGCGCGGAGAACAAGAUGCCGGAUGAUGGGAAGGAGGGAAAUGGAUUUUCGCAAAAAAAAGAAAAAAAGGAAAAAAGUAAAAAAAAAGAGGAAAAAAAAAAAAGAAAAAAAACGAGGAACACGCGACGAGGAGAGAAGAGGAGAUCUAUAAAGCUGCAGCAAUAAUAAGAUAUAGAUGUUACGGGAAAUUAAUUAACGCUAAUACAAUCGUCGACGAUAAAAUCUGGAUCAUUCCGAUAUAUCGUAUCUACACAAAGUGUAUACAUAUUUAUUGCUAUAUGUGUAUAUAUAUGUAUAUAUACACACACAGACAUACCCGUACGUAUAUAUACACACAAACACAGAGAGAUACACAGUCACGACACGAGCGCGAAUGCGCGAAACGGGAGCACAUACAUACAUACAUACACACACGCAUAUAUAUAUAUACAUACACGUACACGUACACACACAUUAUUACAUACAACGCCCAAACGCGUUACGAAAAAAAAAAAAUAAAAAAAACAUAUUACAUGUAUAUAUAAAAUAGUUAGUCGGCACAGUCGAAAAGAGUAAUAUAUUAACGAUGAUAAUUUAUUAUUCGCGACGCCUGUUGCUCGUGUAAACUAUCGUCUGAUAAUUGCUUUUCGAGCAAGAAACGGGCGACGUUCGUGUUAACGUUUUGUUGAUUAUAUUAUAUGAACGUUGAGGUAAAUGCGUUUAAAAGAUUAUGGAUUGAUGUUUCAAGAAAAUGAUAUAAGAGAGAAUGGGGGGAAAAGAAGGAGUAAACAGGAGUUUACGUUACGUAGCAUAACGUGUUGUAACGGCAACGUUGAGCACGGUAAUGCGAUAAAGGCGACGAUACGAUAACGAUAAAAGCGUGAUUAUAAUAAUAAUCGGGGAAUUAGAGAAACGAACAACACGAUGAUCGCGAUGAUCGCUUUGCGAUCGUAUUACAUAAGCAUAUCGAUCGUUGGUUUAGAGAUUAUCGUUUGAAUACGAUUAGAAAAAAAAAAAAAAAAAAAUUCCUUUUCAACAAGAAAUUGAUUCGAGAAGUCUCGUUUUGAUCGAUAUCUCGUCCUCGCCAUCAUCGUCGUCGUCGUCGUCAUCGUCAUAAUAGGUAAAGGAAGAAACAAGGAGGAGGAGGAGUAAGAUCGGAAGAAAAGAGCUUUCGUUCGUUUUCGUAUCCUGCGUCGAUCGAAGAAGAAGGAAGAACGCAAGAAUCAGACACAUACAUAGACACGGCACACAUAGACACGAUACACGACACACAUAGACACGACACACGAGACACGAUACUAACACAGAAAGAAAGAAUCAUUAUCGCUUUACGACUUGCUUUACAUCUCAAAGUUUGUCCCUUCUUGGUCGAUUUGGAAUUUAUUUAGCGAUCGUUCGAAUUCGAUUCGAGAAAAAGAAAAAAAGAUUGUGCGAUUCAUUCGAUUGGACACCCUCCUCCGAACAAUGUUGAUUGUUUCGCAUUUCGAAAAUUUAGAAGAAGAAGAAGAAAAAUCGAUUCGCGUGCACCGAGUGGUGGUCAUCGCUCGAUCGACGAAUACGAUUGGUUCGAUCGAUCGAACAGUCAAUUCUCUGUCUCGGUGUCGGUUACGAUGUAAAGGAGACAGGAGUUAAAUCGGCCUUAAAUACGAUUGGUCGCAUAGAUACCAAACCCCCUCCACUCCCUUUCCCCCUCCCCCGUCCCCGCACCGAGACGCGAGAUCGUCGCGAACUGUCCCUUCAGCGCGCAUCACUUUUUUAAAAUACACCUUUUCAUCAUCCUCCUCCUCUCCGGAAAGGAAAGUAAUCGUCGUCCCUUUUCGUUCUUCGUCCGUUUUUAGCUUUAAACCCCGUUGACUUGUGUCGUUAGCAUUUUUCUCCGAUGCGUGCGCGUUCGUGUGUAGCGAUAUACUCGCGAUUAGGAAUUGAAGAAUCAAAUUACAAUACUUACUUUCGAACAAGUACCAUCGAAUAAGUUUUCCGGGCCACGAUAUUAGAAUUAUAUACCUUAUAUAAACUUGCAACAAACAGUGCACGUAUCACCGAUCAUCUCGUUGGUAUAUGCAUAUACGUAUAGUGUGUAUGUUUUGGCCUAAAAAAAAGAGUAAGAGAAAGAGGAUUUUUCUCUUUCGUUCACGUGUUAUACAUUACACCUGGUGACUUUGUUAAUUUUUCGUUUUGUUUACGAAAGUAAGGUUCCACUUGGAGAAUAACGCGCGGAAUAUAACAUUUUAUCUUAUCUUAAUUCGCGCAGCGUUGCUGUCCGUCUGUCAGUCUGUCUUUCUUUCUUUCUUUUUUUCUUUCUUUCUUUCUCUUCUCGCGUCUCUUUUUUCUCUCCUUACUUUACUCGUUUAUAUUUACUUCUUCUACGAAACGAACGAACGAACGGACGAACGUUGUUUGUUUAUUUUAGAAAAAUUUAGGAAACGCGCGAUGUGAACGAACGAAAGGGAAGACCGACAGAUGGGCUAAAAAAUGUGAAUCGAUCACAGGGAGUAAAGUACGACGAAGAAAUUGGGGAAUUGUGAGAAAAAGAAAACGGAUGGAACGCUUUAGAGACUUCGAACACGACAAAGUAUCGAGAAUGUACUUACUUAUUGGUCGUGUCGCAUCGGUGCAAUUAUUACUCUUCGAGAGACUAUUUCAAUAACCUUAUGAGUGUCAAUUCCACUUUCGAGCGUAAAUCGUGUAAGUUUGCGAAUGUUUUCAGAACAAACGAACAAAAAUAAAGAGCGAUCGUGAUGGGGUGUCGGUGUUAAAUCAUAACGAUAAGAGAGGUUGCGUGGCCAUGUCUCUUGACAACUACGCGCCAAAGUGAGAUUAUUAUAAUAAAUUUACAUUAUUGAGAAAUUAAUUAGGGAAUGAGAGUGUGGGAGAGAAAGGAAUAGAAAGUACGUACGAGCGAGCGAAUGAACGAACGAACGAACGAACGAGCGACCGAGUGAGCGAGCGAGCGAGCGAGCGAAAAAAGUGCGAGAGCAAGAAAACAAACAAAAAAACCAAGGAUGAAAGGACAAGCUUAGGAAGAGAAUGCGCGAUCGAACGAAUGCGCGAACGAACGAACGAUGGGGAGAAAGUUUUGAACGAAAGAGUAUUAUUUAUUUACGUGUGCGUGCAUGCGAGAGAGAAACCGAUUUACGAAAGAGAUAAAAAAAAUUUGAAGAAUUUAGCACGUUGAACAAUGAUAAAUGGAAAAUACUUUUUAUCGUAGAUACACUUCUAUUAGGUGAAAGAAACUCUACGUAAGAACAAAGAAAAGGCAAAAAAAUAGAAAAAGAAAAAGUAAAAAAGAGACCUGUACUAAGGAUUACUUAUUAAAUAAAUGAACGGUGUUUUUCCGCCUAUGAGUCGUAUUUGCAUCAGAUGAAUAUACAGAUGCAUCUCACUUCUCACACACUCUCUCUCUCUCUCUCUCUCUCUCUCUCUACCUUUCUCUUUCUCUCUCAGUUAUACAGAGAACAGAACGAGAUAGAUUGUUAUUUUCCAUCUUUAAUGCGAUAUUAUUGUUAUUAUUAUUAUUAUUAUCAACACUGUACAAAGUUGGCAAUAAUUAUUAAGAAAUCCAUCGUCGUAACGCGUUUAUUAGCUGUGUUUUGAAGAAAGAAAGAAACGCAUGACGAGAUCCACACUCGUCAUUCAAGACAGAAGAGAAGAAAAUUCGUUGCAACUACAGCGUAUAAAAAAAAAAAAAAUAAUAAAUAAAUAAAUAAAGCGUGCCCUUUUACCUAAUCUAAUCCUGCACAAAAAUAUCGAUCGUUCUGAAUAUAUCUAUAUAGAGCAUCCUUACGCGACGAAAAAAGAUAAAAAAAAAAAAAGAAAUAAAUAGAUCCGGGUUUGGGAUAUAUAAGAAGUAAACGUAAAUUUCGAAGAGAAAAAAAAAGGGCAUGUUAUGUCUGGUUAAUAAUAAUAAUAAACGACGAGAGUCGGAUCGCGUCCGUGGAUGUUCGGUCGUCGAAUAACAGGAGCAGGAAAUCGGUGAAUCGAUAGAUUUUCCGUAUUCUCUCUGAACGCGAUAAGCGAUAUUGAACCGCGAACUCACGUUUGGAAUCUUGUCGCUGCCUCUACUCUCACCGAUUCGCCGAUUUUCUUCUCGCGUUGUAGUAGUAGCUACUUUCUUCUAGCGAUCUAUUAUUGAUCUGUCUGAAGCGAUAACGAAGACAAAAAAGAAAAAAAGAAAGAAAAAAAGAAAAAAAGAGCCAAGCGUUUACUGUACAAUUAUAUUCUUUUACGUUUAACGAAAUUACCAUUGAGUAGACGAGUAGUAUAUUUUACAUUAUCGAGAUACGAUAGCGUUACCCCGUCUUACCCUAAUUUUAUAUAUCAUUGAAGAUAACGUAACCGCAGGAAUAAUGAUUAUAGUCAGCACUACAGUGAAGUUACUAUACGUCUGUAGAUACAACAAUGGUCCGCAGAGAUUUUAAAAACCGACACGAUGUUCAAUGUAUUUAACUAAUUGAUCUUCUCUCUCGAAAGAUGAACAAUAUACAAGAAUAUGUAACGGGA